CUCAGUUGCUGAAUUCACAGGCCCUCGUAAGAUGUGAGUAAACUAUCCUUAAUGUACAAGUUUAUGAGAUAUUUAUACCAGUGGGAUUUUAUGUUUAACAUUAUUGCAGAAUUCUGGCUGUUUUUCGAGCAGUGAUCAGUUUCUUGAAACAACAAUUCUUGUUUAAUAUGAAGGUGCAUGCAUCAUACUUUGUUCCCAAAAUAAAUGUGUAUAUCAAGAAUAGCAUUAAAAGUGCCUCUUUGCAUGGCAUAAAAGUGCCCUUUGAGUUCAACCACCCAUGAAAACUGGUCUUUAAAAAAUGGUCUGUGCCACCUCCUGGCUCAGGCAUCCUUGCCCCUAAAGCUACCUCGUCCAAAGUUGUCUCCCUGGCUAGACUGAUGGUGGUGGUCUUAGACUUCCCCCAGGCUUUGGAAGCUAGGGAGUUUCAGCAUUCAUGCUGUCUCAAACAGCUACGGACAUUAUGACAGCCAUGGGGCUACCCCAUAUAUAUGAGAGUCAACCCACCAGUUACAACAGUCAGCCAACUGCGUAUUAUAAGGGAGCAAUGCAAUACUCAAAAAAACUGUUGUACAGCAAACCGAUGUAUAUGAGGCAAGCAUAAAUUUACCGUAUUUUUCGUCCCAUAGGACGCACCGGCCCAUAGGACGCACCUAGUUUUUUGGGGGGGAAAUAAAGGAAAAAAUGUUUUCCUUUAUUUACCCCCCAAAACCAGGUCGGGGAAUCCAAACCAGGUCGGGGAACAGCAGGAUGGUGGCGCUGCGCCUCCCCGCUGUCCCCCAAGCUUGUGGCGCUGCCCGAUGUCUGCCCGAAGCGCAAGGCGCUCUGCUUCAGGGCGCCCCGCGCGCCAGGCAGCAGGCUGCUAUCUGCACCUAGGGAGCCCUGCGGGAACUCCUGCGGACUCCCCAGGCUUGCUGAUAGCUUGCUGAAGCCUGGAGAGCGAGAGGGGUCGGUGCGCACCGACCCCUCUUGCUCUCCAAGCUUCAGCGAAAGCCUGCAUUUGCCCCAUAGGAUGCACCCAGAUUUCCCCUUCAUUUUUGGAGGGGGAAAAAGUGCGUCCUAUAGGGUGAAAAAUACGGUAUAUCAAAUCAAACCUCUGGUCAACAGUGAGACUGCUCCUGGAUGAGCCAGCCUAAGCCUGGCAGAGGGAAAGCAAGUCUUUAAAAUAGAGUCUGAGUUACAUCACCCUUUUGGUCUGUCUGUAGUGUAGUGGCAAAGUUAGAAGAGGGCAAAGACCCAUCAUGACAGUCAGACACCAGACUUCCACACAGCUGUGCCCUCUUGUAAGAUUAUUCAAUAAAACUGAGCUUUCUGUCUCUUUGUUUGGAGUUCUGUUGAGCAAUGGGUGCAGGAUGACGUACGUAGUUUUGAGAUUCAGCAAGAAGGCAAUGACAGGGAGAGCAAAAGGUUUAGCGGCUGCAUUUGCAGAGAAUAAAUUACAGCGUGUGCACUCAGAGCAGAAGGGGAUGUUUUGGUGGGGGGGGGGGUUGCAGAGCAAAGUAAAGCAGUUUUUAAGAGUUUCAACAAUGCAGCUUUAGAAUAGUGUCUGUUUCACUUACAAUAUUUUCACUGCCAAUUUUUCUUCUAAAGUCGUUGCGAGUCAGCAAGGGACAUUACUCCAAGCUGGAGGGGGGGGCAACCUGUGGCCUUUCAAAAGUUGUUGGACUAAAGUUCCCAGCAUCCCUCACCCUUUGUGAUGCUGGCUGGGGCCCGUUGCAGAGGAAGUCCCGCAAUGCCACCCCUGCUUUAAUCAGUGGUUUCUUUGCGAAAGCAAAAAUUGUACAGUGGUGCCCCGCAAGACGAAUGCCUCGCAAGACGGAAAACCCGCUAGACGAAAGGGUUUUCCGUUUUGGAGGUGCUUCGCAAAACGAAUUUCCUAUGGGCUUGCUUCGCAAGACGAAAAUGUCUUGCGAGUUCCUGCGGGUUUUUUUUCCUUCCCCCCCCCCCUUUUUCCCAAGCUGCUAAGCCACUUAUCAGCUGAUCCGCUAAGCCACUAAGCCGCUUAUCAGCUGAUCCACUAAGCCCGCUAAUAGCGCUAAUCCCCUAAACCGCUAAUGGGCUUGCUUCGCAAGACGAAAAAACCGCAAGACGAAGAGACUCGCGGAACGGAUUCUUUUCGUCUUGCGAGGCACCACUGUACAAGACUCGAGAGCACCCUUCGCAACCUGUGCUCUACAUUACACAGUUAACAUUAAAACCGAAUGCCAAGUUAGCAAUCAUUUUCUCAUCUAGCGAGGUGAGGAUUAGUCAGCGAGGCAAAUCACGCAGAGUGGCCUCCAAAUCUGACCUUUCGUGUAAGUCAUUCCGUUUAUCUUCAUUAGAUCUAACCUUUCAAAAGCAAAUCUUCAUUACAGGCUACACUUCUGAAGGCAGCUUUGUGAACAGAGAUGUGCUACGGAGAUGUCUGAGCUUUAGCGGGCAAUCCUAUGGCAAGAUCUGCUGGGAUGGGCAGCUUAGGAUGCAGCGGAUCUCUGGAUCCGCUGGCUGAUUCCCCACCCGUGGUUCAGCCAAAGAUAACACCAGCAUAACUUAUUCAUUCUGGCUCAGCCAGUUGAGCUGCAUCUGUCUGAGCUGAGUCCGGUCUAAUUCCCCCAAAAGGGGUAAUCCAGAAGUGUGGCAGGUGCGAAACCAAAGAGGGGGAACUUAGGCUGGAUCCUAAGUCUGUUCGGUUCAGUCACAUGACCUGGCAACCUGACGUAGAACACUAUGGCAAAGGCUGGUUUUCCAUCUUCCAGGCUUAGGCAGAGAAGCAGCCCCUGCUGCUGAACAGGGCUUAAAUCUGAUGUAGAUUUAUUCUGCCAAGAAAACUCCAUGGACAUAAAAAAGGAGAAGCUUUGAGAGGAAAGUGAGUUUCUCCAAGGCAUGCUCUGGUUCAUAGGGUCACGGAGAGUCGACACAACUAAGACGACUAAACAACAACAGAUUUACCCCAUCUUAAUUUACACCAGCUUGCUUCGCACCAGCUUCUUAUGCAUAGAAUUGUUCCCUUAGUGUGUGCACUGCUGAACAUCUCAGCUGAGAGUGAAGGCUCUCCUAUUUCUGCCAGUGUUUGCUGGGGUUCCUGACUUGAAUGUAUUCUGUGUAACUUAUUCAAGUCUGCUCGGGUUUCUGUGAUGGGUUUUUUACUAUUUGAUGUAAUACAGCUGAAGUUACAUUUGAUGCCAGGAUAUAUUUAAUCCUAUUUGAUUCCUGAGUGAAGCAAGCAAUACCUAAGCAAAUCAACAUGUUUUAAUAUGCUUCAGUUCAAUGCGCUUGAUGUGAACUGCUGCCCAAAGAGACUCAUUAUUCCCACUAGAAUAAAGUUUCUUUCUUUGAGAUGACAUUAAUAAGCAAGUCGUGACUCCGGAUAGAAAUUUCUUUGUCUAUUAAUAACUUUGAAAGUUUCAUCCACUUAGACCGGCUCUGUGACAUUUAAUAUCUAUCCCUCCUAAAGGUGAUAUUUGACAAAGAGAAAACCCAAGUCAUAAAGUUACUGCUUUGAAUGUCUUAGAAAUCUCUGCUAAGAUAAGGUAAGGUAAGGUAAGGUGAAUCUCUAUGCGUUCCUGGGAUAGAAUCUCUUUUCUCCUGUGGCCACCACAGAACCUUUGUAGAGCAGGUAUGAGUAGUUUUAUGUGCUCUGGGUUUCUUUGUUUCUUUGUUUCUUUUUCUUUGAUAUGCAAAGUCUUAAUAAACAGAGAGAGAGAGAGAGAGAGAGAGAGAGAGAGAGAGAGAGAGAGAGAUCUUCUAGGGACCGGAGGGAGAGCUUUUUUAAAAACACAAACACAAAAACUUACACAGCGUUAUCCCAAAGAGAUCCUACUGAGUUCAAAGGGGCUUGCAAGUAUGUGAAUACAGCUACAGCUGUACCUUGGUUCUUGAACGGAAUCCAUUCAGGAAGUCUGUUCAACUUCCAAAAACAUUCAAAAACCAAGGCGCAGCUUCUGAUUGGCUGCAGGAGCUUCCUGCACUCAAUCGGAAGCUGCGGAAGCCGUGUUGGACGUUCAGCUUCCAAAGAACAUUUGCAAACCGGAACACUCACUUCCGGGUUUGCGGCAUUCAGGAGCCAAAAUGUUUGAAUCUCAAGGUUUUUCCCAGAACCAAGGUGCAACUGUAUAGGAUUGUAGCCUUAGUAAGUCAGUUGCCUAUUUAGUUCAACACUGAACUGAAUAGGCAACUGACGUGUACAAAUUCAGACAUCAGUCUGUGUUGGCUCCUUGGGGACAGGUUGGGAUAAAAGAAAAAGUAAUAAAGGGUAUGAAGCUAUGAAUUACAUUUGAAGAGGAGGAGGCUGGAAUCUUGACCGACUAGAGAGGUAAAAGGAAGAGGGUAUGAAUAAAGCCACAAUGUGAUGCUGUUCUUGUUAGAUCUAUUUCCUGCCCUUCACCAGAAAGUCCCAGGGUGCUUUAUAGCAACGUAAAAUGCACAAUUUUAAAAAAAACGCAACUGGAAUGGGUCCUAAAAAUAUGUCUCUUGUGCCAACGUAAAGGUAAAGGGGCCCCUGACCAUUAGGUCCAGUCGUGACCGACUCUGGGGCUGCAGCGCUCAUCUCACUUUAUUGGCCAAGGGAGCCGACGUACAGCUUCCGGGUCAUGUGGCCAGCAUGACUAAGCAGCUUCUGGUGAACCAGAACAGCACAAGGAAACGCCGUUUACCUUCCCACCAGAGUGGUCCCAAUUUAUCUACUUGCACAUGACGUGCUUUCGAAGUGCUAGGUUGGCAGGAGCAGGGACUGAGCAACGGGAGCUCACCCAGUCACCCAGGAUUCGAACCGCCAACCUUCUGAUCGGUAAGUCCUAAGCUCUUUGGCUUAACCCACAGCGCCACCCACGUGUGUCUGCAGCAUAAGAUGAAGAUAUUACAAUGGAGGUACCAAAGGAGGUGGUUUCCAAACACCUGACAGCCAUAGGGCUAUUAGCCACUUGAGAACUGCAGCGUCAGCAUCUUUCCUGUGGCACCAAGCAAUUUGCACUGAGCCUGCUGCUGAAACAGAGCUUUCCACCUCCAUUUUAGCAGCAGUUUCAAUGCAAACCACUUGGGGAUAUCGGAAGAAGACAUGUUCCCCCUGCUCAUCAGGUGGGAGCGUACCUCGCUCUGGCAAAGGAAGAUCAGGAGCUCACUUUAAGUUCCCGAUUGUUCCUUUGCCGUCAUGUUGAUACCUGCACCAGACUAGAAGUCUCAUAAGACACCAGGUGAGCGGCAGGGGGCAGUGGUUUAGAGAAAUUGCCUCAUGGGGCAAAUGGGGCGGCUGGGCAGGCACAUUUGGCCCUCAGGCCUGAGGUUUCCGACCUCUGCUAUAGCCCCUCAGCCAGCAGAAGUUGAGGACAGGAUUGUACCCUUAGGUUGCAGCCUGACAUUCCUGGGAGUGUGUCUCAUUGUACACAUGUUAAAUGCAAACUGUUAAUGGUUGUACUGUGGAAAAUGGAAAGCAUAAAUAGCAUUUUGAAGCACAAUUUGAGGCAAAAUAGAACCUGUAAUUCUAGGUCUCAAGAUCAAUGGGUGUUGUUUUUUUAAGUGCCUUUCUUACCAUGUUGGAUUAAAAAGAAAGAAAGAAAGACAAUUUAUUCCUAUAAACCUUUCUGAGCUGGUAUUGACAGGGGCAGCAUGAAAAUUCUGUGAGAACGAAACAAAUAUUUGUCGGAUGGCUUAGCAUUGGAUUUUCCCAACACUCUUAAUCAGAUGAAUUGACUACAUGUGGCUGAAUACAUUCAAUACUGUAAAUGCACCUGUGAUCCAGAGACUCUUUUUCCAUUAUGUUGGGAACAAAUUAUGGUGUGAACUUUCAAUCCUGGUUCGUCCGUGGAUGUGAAAUCAUUGAAGUAAUGUAAGAAGAGCUUUAUAUUAAAUCAGGCACUGGGGGAUAUAAUAAUCUCCCUCCAAAGGCUCAGAUCGUUAACAGAGUUAGCAAAUAAUCUGUACUUCCCUGCGGCUGAGAAAUAUAUCUGUAAGCCAGAGAUAAGAAAACAGAUGAAGAAAGGAGAGAUAGAGAAAACCGCCCCAUCAAUUGAUGGAUAUUGUUCAUAAGCCACCAUGAAUAACACAUGUGCCGGGCACAUUUUAUGGCACCCAUAAACAAGAAGAGCCCCCAAAUCAGUGAAAAAUUGCCCAAACUUUAUUGAUUACAGUGCCUUGGGGUCUGGCGUGGCAGAAGGCAAGGAUCUGCCCACCUGUGAUGGCCUGGGACUCGGGCUCGGAACCAGAGGAGUCUCAGUCUGCACCGGAUCCUUUGCCUCAGGCAUCAUCUGAACCAAGUCUGGGGCCUGAUCCUGAAGAGUCCCAGUCUGCACAGGUGCCCCUGCAACAAACACCAGCUGGGCCGAGUCAGGGGCCUGAGCCUGCCCUGGCUCCAGAUGCGGGGAUUACCUCGUUGCCUUCAGCUGGGCCAUCACUUACAGCUGCUCCACUACCAGUUGGGUCAGGAGAGGCUGAGGCAGCCUCUGGGUCUAGUAACCCACCGACAUCUCCCGAGCUGCAGAGACUAAGGUCUGAGAGAAGGAGAGACCUGAGUACUCGCAGGAGGAGUGCUUGCCUUUGGGCAAAACAGGGAGGUGAGUCGCCGGGGGAUCAGGACCGGCUAUUACCCUGACAAAUAUAAAAGGCUGUCGGACCCUGCCCCAGGUUGCAGGAGCAACAUUGCUAUAUGCCAGACCCUGCCUGAGAUCCUGUACCUGUCCUUGCCUGGUUUCCUGCCUCGUGUCCUUCCUUGGCCCUGUCAGACUGACUCCUAGUGGAACCUUCAGAUUCUGGACCGGACCUGGUCCACGUUGCUCGGGUUACCCCGAAGCCUAGCACACCACCCUACUACCCUGAUGCUCUUCCCAGCCUUCUUCCUGGUUUACUGGUAAGAGUUACUUAGGAGAGAUUCCCUGGGGAAAGGGAUUGACCAUUAAACCACUCUGAGAAUUGUAGAUCUGGGGGGCGGGGAGAGACACACUGCUCAGCACCCUUAACAAACUACGCUUCCCAGAAUUAUUACGAGGAAGCCAUGGCUGUUUAAAGUGGCAUGAUACUGCUUUAAAUGGCUAAUGCAGAUAAGACCUUAGACAUAAACUUUGGGGCAUCCAAAAAGAUUGUGAAGAAGCCAAAUACUGAGUGCUGAAGAGGUGAAGAGAAUGGUGCUGGCUGUCAAUAAGGUGGCCAGUGGAGAUUGUUGCUUUUACCCUAAAAAUGUUUGGCAUAGAGAUGGGGGGGGGGACCCCUCUAGAUAGCCUGCCUUUUCACAGCUGAAUAAUUGGCAAACGGGGGGACCAUUCAGAUCCAUAAAUACAAUUUUAAAUUCAUCAUAUUUUUAGGACAUAAUUUGAUAUAUUCCAUUUCCAACGAAAGCGUCAAUGCUAGAAAUGCCAAACCUGGGGUGUAUAACCCAGUCUGAACUGCACCUACCUAUGUGGCUUGGGGGAACGGGUGGCGCUGUGGUCUAAACCACUGAGUCUCUCGGGUUUGGUGAUCAGAAGGUCGGUGGUUCGAAUCCCCGCAACGGGAUGAGCUCCCAUUGCUCUGUCCCAGCUCUUGCCAGCCUAGCAGUUCGAAAGCACACCAGUGCAAGUAGAUAAAUAGGUACUGUUGUGGCAGGAAGGUAAACAGCGUUUCCGUGUGCCCUGGUUUCCGUCACGGUGUCCCAUUGCGCCAGAAGCGGUUUAGUCAUGCUGGCCACAUGACCUGGAAAGCUGUCUGUUGCCAAACGCUGGCUCCCUUGGCCUGAAGCGAAAUGAGCGCUGAAACCCCAUAGUCACCUUUGACUGGACUUAACUGUCCUGGGGUCCUUUACCUUUUUUUACCUUUACCUAUGUGGCUAGCAGUGGGCUGUAGACAUAUCACAUAGGAAGGGCAUUGAAAAUGAAUGUCUUUUAUUUUAUUUCAUUUAAAAAAAAAUAAUUGAUGAAUGUUAGAAUGAUGUUGGAAUGAAUCUAUGUGAUUUUAGCAAAAAUGUAUCAAAGAUUUAAGAAAAAUAGACUGUUAAUUGGUGAAAAGAGGGAAAGUAAACAUAGUAAGAUCAAGAUAAAUUUUCAGGAUAAGAAUUUUGAAGAGAGGGAAAGGAUUUGCUGAAAUGGAUAAUUGACUUAGAAUACAAAAAAGGGAGGUGUGAGGAGGUCAGGGAAACAAGCAUAUGAAAGAUAAGUUAUGGGAAGGCUCGAUUUGUCUUUUUUUUUUGGUACGUUGUUUUUAAGUGUUUUUAUUUCCUUGUUUUUUAUUGUGAUGGGUUGUUCUACUAUUGUCUAAUCUGGUGUUGUUGUUUUUUUCUGUUUUCUUUUGCCUUUUUGUAAACUUAAAAUCUUCAUAAAUACUAUUUUUUAAAAAAAGAAAAUGAAUGUCUUUUAAAGGUAAAGGGAACCCUGACCAUUAGGUCUAGUCGUGACCGACUCUGGGGUUGCGGCGCUCAUCUCGCUUUGUUGGCCGAGGGAGCCGGCGUACAACUUCCGGGUCAUGUAGCCAGCAUGACUAAGCCGCUUCUGGCGAACCAGAGCAGUGCACGGAAACGCCGUUUACCUUCCCGCUGGAGCGGUACCUAUUUAUCUACUUGCAUUUUGAGCUUUGUAUCAAGUUUUUGGAAGGGGAGAAUGAAUGCUGUAAAGGAAAAUUUAGUGUUCCAUACUGCAGUCGAUUGAAUAUUAUUUUGAACAAAGCACUUCCUUCUGCUAUAUGCAUAUGUGAAUCUGGGAGAGGGUUCAUUUAUAUUUCUACAUUCUGGAUAUCAGUUUUGUACUACGGUUUGAAAGGGAAAGGGAAAAACAGAAGAAGAAAAUAUAGUGUGAGCGGCUGGACCAGUGGAGGGGAAGGUGGUGCUGGAUGAAGCUGGUCUUUCCGCAGAGCUGAUGCAGGGAGCCCUGCUGCCCACCUGUCCACAGAGUCCAUUGGAAGGGAGGGCUGCACCUUGGUGCGGGCAAGGGAGUGAGAGGAGGCCUGGCGGAGGUCUACACCUGGAGGAAGGAGGGACGAGAAACAGCGCCAUCGGCUCUGCUUUAGACUGGCCAGCUCCCUCAAACCGCCUCUCCCUCAAUUGUCAUCUGGCAGCAGCCAUUUCAUUAGGCUGCCUCAGUGGGAGAGUUUUCUUUUCCUCAGCCCUCCUUGCCCUCUUUCCUUGUGUGUUGCAUUUCUGUUUGUUAGCUUUUUUUAUUACAGUAUAAGCCUGCAAAUAGGGAGUAUCUUGCUUUUGAUUUCAUGUAAGCCUCUCUGGGCUUACAUAUCAUAUCCCAGUGUACACAUCAGCAUAUCUAGAAAUACAUCAGAGAAAUCUGCGUUCCAAAUGUGACAUCCCUGCCUGAGGGCCUGAUCCAUUCCCCAGUCUCUGAACUUCCUGUUCCUUUGCUCUGUUUUCUCAUGAACAGGGUACUGACUUUGAUGAAGACGAAAUCUCUGAAAUCUUCCUUUUGCUUUCAAAAGCCUGCUUAUGGUGGUGAAGCUUGGGCUCUCUGAAGGAAAGGAGGCAAGAGAAGCUGCUGAGGACUUCCAGAGAAUUGAGGGAUCACAACUGUGGGUGUGAGAAGGCAGCCAUUUCCCUUCUGACACAAGCAGCCCUGUUUCAGUUCUACUAUUCAAUGAGAAGUGGGCAAUGAAUACUGUAAGCAAACAGAAUGGUAUAAAAUCCUUAAAGUAAUCAAAACAAUUAGGCCACGUGACACGUCAAACUUUUCUUACAGAAAAGCUGUUGCUUAUAACAAAACCAUUUUUUUAAACAAAAGUGCCAUUCCUCUCUCCCCUCAAUGUCCCAACCACACACUUUACUGUGUCAGAUGCGGCUGAUGUUGCUCCCGAAGUCUUCAGCGAGGAGAAGCUGAGUGCUGAACUGACAUCCAUCAUUGUGACAAUGACGAGUCGGAAGAAGCUGGUCUGAAGGAAAGCUCUGCAAGAUCUUUCUGACCUCCUGCAGAAGAUGCAGGAAUGUGUGAGUUCUUGAAGGGAAUCAUUGCAACCAUGCAGGGAUGUCAAAGCCUUCAGGCUGCCCCUACCAGGCCCACCCUGCAAGGUGCCCAAGGGACAAUCAGGUAUCGAAGCACGUAAGUGAUCUAGAGAACAGCGUUGGGUAUAGUACAGUGUUUCCUUGCAGUUGGCCUGGAUCCGCUGAGAGGUGCGCCUUGUUUUCGGCUGCACUCAAGAGUUCCCAGCUGGGAAGAAGGUUGUUGCACCCGGGUCCUGCUUGCAGGCUACUCCUAGGCAUCUAGGAGUGAGAACAGAAGUGAGGACCAGCCUCUGGACUGAGCCAACAGGGUUCUUUUAGGCUGCUGUCUACACAGCUCAGGUGCAACCUAUCUGAAAGAGUGUAUUCCCCAGUCUGCUCCAAUGGCGUCAAUGAAGCCUUGAAGCCGAAUCGCUGCCUUGGGUCUUGCUGGAACCCACCUCUCUUCCCUCAGGGCUCAGGAGGGAGACCCUUUGUGAGGGCAAUGGGCCCAUUGAGGCAGGUUCAAUAAACACACACACACCCAAUCCUAUAGUAUAACGUGGUUGCAACUGAGCCCCUCAGGUGAGCCUGUGCAUUUGCCUGGCACUGCCUGCAGCCUGUGGGGCCCAGAGAAGCCCCCCAGAGGGAUCUGAGAGGGGCUUGAGCCCCACAGCCCCCCUGAAGUUGAGCACAAAGGGCUACAUGGUCAGUUGCUGCAUCUCUGUCCAAGUACUUCUGUGGGUGGGGAAGGUCUGCUUGGCCCCAGCAGGACAGGACUUGCCUGUGGACAUAUCUCAGGCCUUUCCUUGGGCAUUGUGAAGUGUGCCUUGUUCCGCCACAUCCCUUCCAUUGGGUGUCUUGCCUUUUUGAGUUUCCAUACCUGAGGACAGGACUUGUCUCACCUUUAAAAAUAAUAAUCAGUCAGGUGCUUUAGGAGACAACAUCUGUCUGGAAAGCAGGAUAAUAAUAAUAAUAAUAAUAAUAAUAAUAAUAAUAAUAAUAAUAAUAAAAAAAUAAAAAAAUGGUACAUUUAAAAGAAUAUAUAUACCACCACCCUUGAAUUGCAUGGAAUUAACAUUGUUCUAACAACUAGGCCACACUGACUCCCCUAGAACCUUGGCAUGAUGGCCGUGCAUUCCAUGUCAUUAAUGGCUGUUGCCUAGCAACGGAGCUUGUGACCGUUUGAACUGAGGUCCCUGCAUCCUCAGCAUCUCGAGGUUGGCUCUAGUGACCUUCGCUUGGCUCAGAUGGUAACUUUACGGGAAAUCUUCUGACAAUACUCAUUGCCCUAGGGUUGGUAGCUGUUGGACGGGGUGUUCCAUUGUUUAGGAUCCUCAUUGAAUUAAAAAGAAAUAGCAGCAAAACAGUGAACUUGCGUAGUUAGAUAAAUUAAUCACACCAAUGCUCUUUGGAGAAUAAAGAUUGAGGAAUUGAUUUACCUGCAGAAAACGGUCUGAUUCCAGUCUGUCCUUGGAAUUUUCCGUGCAGAGUUGUUCAUUAAAUCACAUCUUAAUAUUUGCAACCUGCUGUAUGUCUAAGGGGAUAGUUUUCCAUUCAAAAGCUGCUUACCUUCAGAAACAGGGCAUCAACCUCCAACAGAAAGGUUCGUUGUACAGGCAGCUUCCAUGUAGAAUUGUCCAUUGAAUCUAUCAUAUUUUUAAUCUGUUAUAAAUGUUAAAUGAAAUUAUACUGGUAGCCAGAAACAUCCAUGGUUUUCCAGUUCUGGAGCAAAUAUAUAUAUAUAUCCCUGCUGUCGAAAAGAAAUGUUGAUAAUAUUAAUCUGAAUUUUAAAUAGAUUAUUGGAUCCAUGAGGCAGAGGUGGGGCAAAAAAGGGAAGGCUUAACUUUGAAACCUAAAGAACAAUUAAUCCAAUUUGUUUGUUUGCAAAAAUGUCUAAAUAUCACCAUGUCAUGGUGGUGAACUGCAUAGAAUCAACAGCAAAAUUACUUGCCAUAAAUAGAGGACAGAAUGUAAAGCAAUGGAUCAGGUUAACUUAGCUGAAUCUGGAACUCUUCAAAACAAAAGGGGAAGGGGAUAUUUCAUCCAGAAGGGUGUUAAUUUAAUUACAGUGGAUUCUGUCCACAGAGGAUUUAGCUUAUUCAAGCCCUUAGACUAGGGAGAGUGAGAAAAAUUGCAGGGAGAAAAUACAAAUAACCAGACUAUGGAAUUUCUCCAACUUUAUCUCAGAGGACUCUGGCAACUAAGCUGGAAGCCAGAUAAGAUGAACCACAAAAGUCAUUAUAUUAACAAAGCUGGAGAUUAAAAUUGACAUAAACAGACUUCCGAGGGGCGGCGCGAACGGUAAUGGCGGUCCUCUUCUGAACGGGAGAGGAGGCUCCGCAGACAACGGGUCGUCCGCUACGGCGAAGCGGAGACCCACUCCGGAAAACCCCAGGCAGCAAGAGCUUGGGGUCUUGAGGCUCGGUGGGCGCCUUAAGUGACCCUCCAAACGUGAAAGGAACCUCGUAAGGGGCUCCGGAGCGUGGAGGGGGGUUGCGGCGCUGAGAGCUGCUUCACAGUCUGCGGAGUGAAGCCGCGCUGCUGCUGCCGGUGAGCGCUGAUCCUUUUUCCUGUUAAAAUACGGAUUCGGACGAAAAGCAACUUACUCGUGAGUAAAGACUGAAUCACUUGAAAUUAGAGACUUUAAACGAAAAACCUUAAAUUGGCUUGAACUUGGCUGAAAGCGGAGAGACGUGGAAACAGGAAGUCCGUCUUCCGCAGCCAUUGAACUUGAAAAAAGCAACUAAGUUGGAGGAGUGGAGGCUGAAAGGAAGAGAUUUUAAACUUUACAGAUCUAAGCAUCUACUGAACUUGCAAUUUAAAGUAAAGACUUUAAGCUAAAGACUUGGAAUUUUAACUUGCACUUUACUUUACCCCUUUUAUUGGAUUAAAAUUUACAAGGUGAAACCCAGAGUCAGGAUCUGACUGAGAAUUGAGAAAUUGAGCUGUCAGUAUUGCAGAUUUGGAUACUGUAUAUUGGAACUUGCAACAAUCUGAGGGUAUUGAGACUUUUAAAUUUGAAACAUUCUUUUUGGAGAUAAAUAAGCACUGUCUGUAACAAAGUGACUACUUAUAAACUCUGCUAAAUAUUUAUAUUUGAAGGUUCUUGGACAUUAAAUUAGACUCUGAAAGACAUUUUAAGCUCCCUCUAGAGGACUGGUACCUUUAAAGGGAGAAAGGUCAAAGUUAGAACAUUGGAAGAGAGAGACAAAUUUUUGGCUACAUACGGAGAGGACCUUCAAAAAGGAAUUGAAUUACCUUCUGGGCCUGGGGCAAAGCCAGCAUUAACACCAGCACCUGGGGAACCUGAAGAUCCAGAGAAGACACCACCCCUGGAGAAAUAACCAGAUAGAUCCAGGAUGUCUCUGCAAUUGCUGAGUUGGAACAUUAAUGGUUGUAAUAUUCCGGAAAAAGGAAGAAAAUAUUUCAUAUAUUAAAAAAGAACAAUUGGACAUUAUCUGUUUACAAGAAACACAUGUGACGAGGCUCCACAGAAAAGUGUUAAUAAAUAAAAGAUUGGGCCAGGAAUUUGUUUCGAUCGGACAAAGUUAAGAAGAGAGGCGUGGUGAUAUAUGCAAAGAGAGCCUGUCACCUAAAUUCUUAUUUAAAGAUGAACAUGGAAGAAUUUUGGCCAUUGAGAUACAAUAUCAAGGAGAGAAACUGUUGAUAUUAGGAAUCUAUGCACCUAAUGAAGGGAAAUCGGAAUUUUACAAGAAGCUGCAGGGGACAAUGCUGGAAUAUCUGGAUUACAACAACAUCAUAAUGAUGGGAGACAUGAACGGGUCGUGUCAACUAACAUGGACAAGUCACAAAGUCAAAAUGUUACAAAAGACGGCAGACUACCUAAAACUUUUUUGAAAUGACUGACAAUAUGGAUUUGAUUGACAUUUGGAGGACAAAGAACCCACUAGGUAGAGAAGGAACAUUCUUUUCUGAAGCCCAACUGACCUGGACAAGAAUCGACCAAAUAUGGAUUUCCAGAGGCCUGGCACCUAAGGUCAGAAAAGUGGAAAUCUGCCCAAAGACCUGCUCUGACCAUAAUGCAGUAAAGAUGGAUAUGACACUACUACCAACUGGAUCCUUUAGAUGGAAGAUGAAUGACAAUUUGUUUAGAGAUCAGGAAAUUACCAAGAAGGCCCAAAAAGUUUUGAAGGACUAUUUUGAGAUAAACAUGAACAAUUCGGUGGAAAAAGAAUUGUCUGGGACGCAAGCAAAGCUGUAAUGAGGGGAUUCUUGAUACAACAGAAUGUAGUAAAGAAAAGAACACAAAAUGAGAAAAAGAUAAGAUCUUGGACAAAUUAAAAGAAUUAGAGAAGAAAUUAAGAGCGAAUCCAAAGUCACAGCCAACUCUGAGAGAAAUUAAACUCUAUCAAACACAAUAUUCUAAAUUGAUAAAUCAGGAAAUUGAAUGGAAGGUUAAAUUAAUGAAACAAAAACGUUUGAGUCGGCGAAUAAAUGUGGAAAACUGCUAGCUUGGCAGUUGAAGAGAAGACAAAGAUUAAACACGGUUACAAACUUAGAGGUUGAUGGAAAAACAUUCAGAAUCCAGUGGAUAUUAGAAAGUGUUUCCAGAGAUAUUUUAAAAAUUAUACACCCAAGGGCCGCAAGACGAAGUUGAGAUUAAACAAUUUUUGGCAAAAAUGGAUUAUCUAAAUUGUCACAAGAAAACAGGACAAUCCUGAACUCUAAAAUAACACGACAGGAGAUUGAACAAGCUAUUCAGAACAUGCAACUUGGCAAAUCUCCAGGGCCAGAUGGGCUGACCUCCAAGUAUUAUAAGACAUUAAAAGACUAUUUGAUACAACCCUUGAUGGAGGUCUGCAAUGAAAUUAUGGAGGGAAGAGGGCACCGGAUUCGUGGAAGGAAGCGUUCAUCACAUUAAUACCAAAGUCAGAAGCUGAAAAGACACAACUGAAGAACUACCGUCCCAUCUCUCUUUUAAAUGUGGAUUACAAAAUAUUUGCAGAUAUUUUGGCAAGUAGAUUUAAAAAGUAUUAAAUGAAGUAAUUCAUAAGGACCAGGCCGGUUUUCUCCCAGGUAGACAUCUGUUUGCUAACACAAGGAACAUUAUUGACAUCUUGGAACUUCUGCAAACAGAUAUAAAUACAAAAGCAGUUUUAAUUUUCAUAGAUGCGGAGAAGGCCUUUGACAAUAUUUCCUGGAAAUUUAUGAUGGGAAAUUUAAAAGAGAUGGGAGUGGGACGGGGUUUUGAGAAUGGGAUUGAGGCGAUAUAUUCAGAACAGAAAGCUAAACUGAUAGUUAAUAAUGUGGUCACAGAAGAGUUCAAAAUUGAAAAAGGGACACGACAAGGUUGCCCCAUCUCCCCCUUGUUAUUUAUUUCGGUUCUGGAAGUGCUACUGAACAUGAUUAGAGGGGAUCGGUUGGUUGAAGGAAUUCAGGUUGGUCAGAAACAAUAUAAACUAAAAGCUUUUGCAGAUGACCUGGUUUUGACCUUGCAGAAGCCAGAGCCCAGUACGAAAAGAGUAUUACAAUUGAUUAAUGAUUUUGGUCGGGUGGCGGGAUUUAAAUUAAAUAAACAGAAAACUAAGGUUUUGGGGAAAAAUUUGACUGAUACAGAGUCAGAACGGUUUCAGAAUGAGACGGAACUUAAUGUGGUUAAAAAGUAAAAUACCUAGGGGUAAACAUAACAGCAAAAAUCUAAGUCUAUUUAAGGAUAACUAUGAAAAAUGUUGGACAGAAAUUAAGAGAGACUUAGACAGUUGGUCAAAAUUGAAACUUUCUUUGUUAGGCCGAAUUGCUGCUAUUAAGAUGAAUGUAUUGCCAAGGAUGUUGUUUUUAUUUCAAACACUUCAGGUUUUGGACAAAACGGAGUGCUUUCAGAAGUGGCAGAGAGAUAUUUCGAAGUUUGUCUGGCAGGGCAAAAGCCCAGAAUCAAGUUUAAGAUAUUAACUGAUGCAAAACAAAGAGGGGCUUUGCCCUGCCGGACUUAAAGUUGUAUUAUGAAGCCGCAGCGUUCUGCUGGCUAAAAGACUGGCUACUUCUUGAAGACACUGAUGUGUUGGAUUUGGAAGGGUUUAAUAAUGUUUUUGGAUGGCAUGCAUAUUUAUGGUAUGACAAAGUUAAAGCAAAUAAGGCCUUCAAGAACCAUAUUGUCAGAAAAUCAUUGUUUAAUGUCUGGACAAAAUAUAAAGACUUGCUGGAAAAUAAAACACCAAGGUGGCUUUCACCUUUGGAAGCUAAGGUCCGAAAAGACCCAAUAUGGAGGCUAAAUGGCCAAAAUAUUGGGAAAUACUAGAAAAGAUGGAGACAAUUGGAAAUUGCAGAGUUUGGAGAAAAUGAAAGACAAAGUGCGAGAUUGGUUACAUUACGCUCAGAUUAAAGAAGUUUUUAAAAAUGAUAAGAAACUAGGGUUCCAGGUGGAGAAAUCGAAAUUAGAAACAGAAUUGUUAGAACCAAAGACUAAGGUACUUUCAAGGAUGUAUAACUUGCUGUUGGAAUGGAAUACACAAGAUGAAAUGGUUAAAUCGGCUAUGAUAAGGUGGGCACAGGACAUUGGGUAUAAUAUUAUGUUUGAGGACUGGGAAAAGUUGUGGAGUAAUGGAUUGAAAUUUACUGCAUGUAACGCUCUGAAAGAAAAUGUAAUGAAAAUGAUUUAUAGAUGGUAUAUGACCCCAGUUAAACUUGCAAAAAUUUACCACCUGUCUGAUAAUAAGUGUUGGAAAUGUAAAGAGUGUGAGGGAACGUUCUUCCACCUCUGGUGGACCUGCCCUAAAGUGAAGGCGUUCUGGGAAAUGAUUUAUAAUGAAUUGAAAAGGUAUUUAAAUAUACCUUUACCAAGAAACCAGAGGCUUUCCUUCUGGGUAUUGUCAGCCAAGGGGUGGCAAAGAAGGACCAGACAUUUUUAUGUAUGCAACAACAGCAGCAAGGAUACUUCUUGCAAAACAUUGGAAAACUCAAGAUUUACCCACACUGGAAGAAUGGCAGAUGCAACUGAUAGACUACAUGGAACUGGCUGAAAUGACCGGCAGAAUCCGUGACCUGGGAGAAGAGAGAAUCGAGGAGGAUUGGAAGAAAUUUAAGAACUAUCUACAAAAAUAUUGUGAUUUGAGUGAAUGCUAAAUAAGAUGCUAGACUAAAUAACUGAGCACCACUUAACUUAGAAGUUUUUAAGAAAUUAAGUAAGACUGUGAAAGUUUAACUCUCUAUGAGAACUAUAAGAUUAUGAAACAUUGAAGAGAUAUAAGAAUUUAAAUAAGAUGAUAAAUUGCUGACAAAAUGUUAUAACGAUGAAAGUGGGAGCGGGGGAUGUGAGGAAGUCCAAAGAAAAUGUGAAACUAUGUUAAGACAAAUGUUAUAUUGUUUAUUAUGUUUAUUCUUAUUGUAAAACCCAAUAAAUCGCUUUAAAAAAAAAAAUAAAUAAAAUUGACAUAAACAAUCAGAAUCGUUUUCAGAAAAUAAUAUAUUGUUUACAUUUUCUCUUUCCGCCCCCCUUCUUGGGGGGAAAUGGAGUCAUCCCAUUAAGUAUUUGACACUCUGCAGUGUUUGUUAUGCUACUCCUUUCAUCGUUUUUUAUCUAAGAGGAGAUGAGGAAACAAUCCCUUUGGAUGUGGAAUAACCUUGUGUAAUGUGACAAUUGUUUCUUCCAAGCGUAUUUUAAUUAGAAAUAUAAUCCAAACUAAACACAGAUUAAAAACCAUGCUCCACAACUAUCAGGAUAUAUCAUAUACUCCCAUUUUACCCUAUCCUUGAUAAUAUGUUUUCUGUACAUCAUGGGGGUAGGGGGCACAUUUUAAAAGGCUCUAAUCUGUAUGGAAGGACAAUUCUUUCUUAGCUCAUUUAUGCAACUGUGACUGGUCUGCUGCCCCUGUCCAAUGUGCUGACCCUGUGGUUGGCUUGCUCAAUAAUGUAAUUAAAAUGGUUUCUGCUCUACUACCUUCCAGAAGAGGUGCUGGGGCACACCAUAGCCAUCAAAGACAAACAUUUAAAGCCUGUAGUCAACUUUGUUUGCCCAAGGGAUUGUGUGCAUGCUGUAAGUGUCUUAUUUGUUUUUUUCCGAGCAAGAGAUCUCCAGCACUGUUCAGUUUCUAAGGGCAGAGCAAGAUGUGAUGCGGAUAACAAGUCAGCACUGAGAAUAGCAAAUCCACGUCCAGUUCCACUUUCUCUCCCUCUAAUGUUUAGUAAGAGUAAUGAGUGCGUGUAGCAAUGGAGGAGACAAUCAGUUCAGUACACAGUAAAAGCUAAAUCUAUCAAAUUUGCUCUUUCCAAAACGAUACGUGAACAGGAACAAAGCUAUCCUUUGAUACUUGCAUUUAUUCUACUUUUGAAAAUUGUGCAUAAAAAUGAAGCUAUUGGUGAAUAUCACAUUUUAAAAGACACGGCCUUUCAAAUGAAAAAUGUGCAUUAGUCACAACUGCAUAUAAAAAUGUGUUUAUCGGGAGAAAUUCACACUGAAAUGACGAUUAGCAUACGAGGAUUUUUUUAAAAAAUGCAAAUGGCUGCAAAAUGUGGAGAACCGAACGGAUGAUUGGAAAAAUGAGAAAUGGAGAGGACCAAAAUGGACAGAUCCAGAUCUAUGGCGCCAUGAUAUUGCAGCUUUUGGGAGUUUGUGACCAAGAGCUCGCGAGCAGGCCUCACAAACAGGGGCAUUUGCAAGGAUUGCUGGAUGGGGCUUGUUUUGCUAAGCUGCCUAGGAGUUAGAGCAAGCAAGGAGUUCUUUUGGAUCUCAGCAGAUGGAGGAUUGGCAGAUGGUUAGAUGAAGAAGAAAAUGGUUUAUUGACUGACAAUAAUAACAACAACAACAACAACAACAACAACAACAACAACAAUAAUAUAUUAUUUAUACCCCACCCGUCUGGCUGGGUUUCCCCAGCCACUCUGGGUGGCUCCCAACAGAUUAAAAACAGAAUCAAACAAUAAAAACUUCCCUAACCAGGGCUGCCUUCAGAUGUCUUCUAAAAGUCAGAUAGUUGUUUAUUUCCUUGACAUUUGAUGGGAGGGCGUUC